UUCAGAGGUCUCAAGCGUUGUUCGGAUUCACUGGGCGUAAAGGGUGCGUAGGCGGUGUGGCAAGUCAGAUGUGAAAGCUCAGGGCUUAACCCUGAAAUUGCAUUUGAUACUGCCAUGCUGGAGCUCUGAUGGGGAGGCUGGAAUUUACGGUGUAGCAGUGAAAUGCGUAGAUAUCGUAAGGAACACCAGUAGCGAAAGCGAGCCUCUGGACAGCAGCUGACGCUGAAGCACGAAAGCUAGGGUAGCAAACGGG
rnacentral:rRNA from 1 species